rnacentral:sRNA from 1 species
CAUCGUCGGAACCCUCUACCUCCUCCCGGAGGGCCCGACGCCGGCGCAAGCCCGACCUCCUCCCCGAGGUUUGCGCUCACAAAUGGAAAGGCGAUGCGCACCUCCUCCCGCGCAUCGCCUUUUUC